ACCAGACUCCUACGGGAGGCAGCAGUGGGGAAUAUUGCACAAUGGGGGAAACCCUGAUGCAGCGACACCGCGUGGGUGAGGAAGCGCUUCGGCGUGUAAAGCCCUAUCAGUGGGGAAGAAAAAGGACGGUACCCAAAGAAGAAGCACCGGCUAACUACGUGCCAGCAGCCGCGGUAAUACGUAGGUGGCAAGCGUUAUCCGGAUUUACUGGGUGUAAAGGGCGAGUAGGCGGGAUUGCAAGUCAGAUGUGAAAACUAUGGGCUCAACCGAUAGAGUGCAUUUGAAACUGCAGUUCUUGAGUGAUGGAGAGGCAGGCGGAAUUCCCGGUGUAGCGGUGGAAUGCGUAGAUAUCGGGAGGAACACCAGUGGCGAAGGCGGCCUGCUGGACAUUAACUGACGCUGAGGCGCGAAAGCGUGGGGAGCAAACAGGAUUAGAUACCCGGGUA
rnacentral:rRNA from 1 species